rnacentral:sRNA from 1 species
UCUGCUUCUUCUUCUUCUUCUUCGUCUGUCUA